rnacentral:rRNA from 1 species
UACGUAGGGGGCAAGCGUUGUCCGGAAUUAUUGGGCGUAAAGAGCUCGUAGGCGGUCUGUCGCGUCGGAUGUGAAAAUCCAGGGCUCAACCCUGGACCUGCAUUCGAUACUGGCAGACUAGAGUUCGGUAGGGGAGACUGGAAUUCCUGGUGUAGCGGUGAAAUGCGCAGAUAUCAGGAGGAACACCGGUGGCGAAGGCGGGUCUCUGGGCCGAAACUGACGCUGAGGAGCGAAAGCGUGGGGAGCAAACAGG